UGCACCUAAAAGCGUUUUCUUGCUAGCCUGUUAAAUGCUCUUGAAAAUCGUAGAUGUGUGCAAAAGCAAUAUUUACAAUAGCAAAGGAUUUGGGUUCUCGGAAAACGCUAAUCCAUUUAUAUUGGAAACAAUU